GAUGAUGCCUAUCAACUGUUUUAAAAAGAUGGUUUCUGCUAUCACUCUUGGAUGGGACCUGCGGUGCAUUAGCUAGUUGUAGGGUAAGGCCUACCAAGGCGAUGAUGCAUAGCCGAGUUGAGAGACUGAUCGGCCACAUUGGGACUGAGACACGGCCCAAACUCCUACGGGAGGCAGCAGUAGGGAAUCUUCCACAAUGGACGCAAGUUUGAUGGAGCAACGCCGCGUGAGUGAAGAAGGGUUUCGGCUCGUAAAGCUCUGUUGUUGGUGAAGAAGGACAGGGGUAGUAACUGACCUUUGUUUGACGGUAAUCAAUUAGAAAGUCACGGCUAACUACGUGCCAGCAGCCGCGGUAAU
rnacentral:rRNA from 1 species